CAAAUUUUGCAUAUCUAGGACUAUCUAAUACAUUUUCAUAUAAAUACCCACUAGAUCUCAGUUUUAAUGCUAUUUGGCUAGAUACUUGACCAAGUUGCAUCUCUAAAUUCUCGAAGGAUGUUUCCAUGUUACUUCACACAGUUUCUUGAUGUCUGUUGAUUUUCUCGAAACUGAGUUGAGUCAUCUUUAUAAACUGAGUUAGGGUUUCUUCAAUUUGAGAUGGUGAAGCCUCUUCCCAUGAAUGAUCAGUGUUUAUGUAAGGUUCUGGAUCUGAAUAAUUUCCCGCAAGCUUUUAAACUAGAGUUUAUGUUUCACGUUCCUUUGUAUA
rnacentral:lncRNA from 1 species